rnacentral:tRNA from 1 species
UGGGACGUGGCCAAGUGGUAAGGUGAUGGGUUUUGGUCCCGUUACUCUGAGGUUUGAAUCCUUCCAUCCCAG